GCUAAGGCAGGUUAGUCCCUAUCUGUUCUGACACUGCUGACUGGGAGCCGCCCGAGAGAAGCCCACGCCCCAAUCCCUUGGUCCAGCCCUGAGCCCCCCCAACCUGAAGUCCC